GUUUGACAAGGCUGCAGCUGACCGCUGUUGUCAUUAUUCCUCCGCGAAGGCAGAGAUCAUCUGUGAAGAAAUCAUACAGCAGCCUGACAGCCAGAGGGGGAAAUCUGCUGCAGAAUUUAUCGCUGUUCUGCUUUGGAUGCUUCGAUUCCUCUUUCCAGAAGCCAGCAGAGAGAGCAAUCUGUGGUGAUAUGAUAUUUAAUGAUAUUAUCAGCUAAGGACAACUGGCAUUUUAACCAAUGCUAUAAAUUUGAUGCAAAUUUGUGUUACUCUUUCUCAGUUUUUAUUUAAAAAACAAAAAGAAAAACUAUUUGAACUGAUUUUAUUUUGCUUGAAGAGUUUUGAGUUAAUCUGCACCCUAAGGUGUCUACUCUUUGUUAGUUUAUUUGCUUUUUAUUAAAGUUAUUUCUUUCCUGCUUUCAAGGUUUAGGAUAAAUUCAUAGUUUUUAUAUUAGAGACGCAUUUACAAAAUUCAGUACUUGGAUACAUAUUUUAGUCAUUUUAAGGCAGUAAGUGUGUUCUUAUGAAUUAAGUUCCUUAAAGUAUUUCAUGCUUUUAAAUAAUAAUUGAUUAAAUAAAUGAUUGUCCUUGUUUAGAUAUUCAUAAUAAUCCAGGUUGUACAGCAGUCACAUGAGAAUGCCAAUAAACUUGACAUUCAUGAAAAAACGCGUUGUGUGGCAGAAAUAAUGCAAAUCACCCUGAACAAAUCUUCCAAAUUGUAAAACAUGGUGGUGGCAAUUUUAUUUUGUUGAUAUGCUUUUAUUAAAGUCGGUCAGAGUUGAAAAAACUAUUGGAAGCUGCAAAAAAAAA